GCUCUGCUGAUGGCAUGUUUGUGUGGGCACAAUUACCUACAGCUAAGGUACAACUGGCAGAGCCUUGAGGGUGCAGCCCCAGUCACAAGCAAAGGCACAAUUUGAUCGUCGACAGUGCACAGUUUCACAGGGCGCCCCGGGCAGCGCUGGCAGCGGGAUGGAACGUCUGAUGGCGUAUGUCCAUAAACAGUACCGGCUGCCCUCGCUGACACAGCAGUCGGGCCACACUGGAAGUCAUGCAAGGAGCCUAUCUGACAUCAGGAAUGACCUAAGAGACAGAAA